UAGGGGACAUCUGUGUGCACUGACCGAGCUAGCCGUGUUCACUUCCCGGGGGAAAGACAGGAUCUCCUUGGAUGGUCAAAGCGAAGCAGAGAAGCCAGCCUAUUAGCAAAGGGAAGAGGGAGUUAUUGUGAUUGUGGGGUCUGAAAAGAAAGGUGAUGCAGGGGACAGUUAGGAGACUGUGGCAGUAAUUCAGGAAGAGGUGACAGUGACUCCAAGGAGGGUUGGGGGCAGGGGAGUGUUUUCUCACGUACUCGGAACUGCAAUAAAUAAGAUUUAUAGCAAAGUACUUCCUGCCCAAACCAGGCUGCCAUCCCAACGGGCAGGAGAGAUGAUUCAGAGGGGAACAGCAGUGCCCAUGCCUGAGAACCAGAACCCACAUAAAAAAACCGGUACCAUGGUUUACAGCUAUAACCCCAGCAUUCCCGAGGACAAAAGCGGAAGGGUUUCUGGGCCUUGGAGACUAGCCUAGCUCGGGUUGCAAACUUUAUAUGCCCCAAAGUGAUAGAGCAGAAUACUCAGCGCCCCCUUCUGGCUUCCACAGGCACACCCGCCUGUGCACCUGCAUACACGUGUGCAUUCUGCAUUCAUGUGCAAACAAAGAAAACUAAUGAAUAUUAAAGGAACAUUCUCAAGGCAUUUUUCUCCAAAUGAAGAUAUAAAGCAUAAAGUGGAAAAUAACAACAGCUAUUAUCAUUUUGAAUGCUUUUAAUAUAAAUUAAACAAUUUUUUAUAAAGUGUUUAGGGUUA
rnacentral:lncRNA from 1 species